CCCUGGCUGGCUCAGCUGGAAGAGCAUGGACUCUUGAUCUUGGGAUUGUGGGUUCAAACCCCACGUUGGGUA
rnacentral:tRNA from 1 species